rnacentral:snoRNA from 1 species
GCGUGUUAUUUCUUGGGGAUAGCUAUGCGUUGGAACCAACUCGACAGCACCUAAUACAAUACAAAUAGUUGAAGGUUAAUUAGCAGUGUAACUAAAGUAGGAAUGCUGCCAGUCUCCUUUAAAAAAAA